AUCGGUGCGCGCGCAGGGGAGCGCGUAACGGCCGCGGCGGGGUGAGGGCCCUCCUGAGGCGGCGGCGCCGGGCGCUGUGAAGGCUCCGGUGCGGGGAUGCGGGGUGCGAACCGCUGCCCCGCACAUCCGCAGUGUGCCCCGAAGCCCUCCCUAGAGCUCUGUGGGUUCCUGGGUGUACCACAGGGGUCUUUGGGCUGUACGCUCGCAGUCUGGACAGCAGCUCCUGUCAGCCUGAUGGUGUGUGGGGUGUGAUGGAGCCCCCAUCCUGCCCCGCACUGCAGCCUCUCUCCCAGCCUGGCUCAGGAGCGGUGCUCAGUGGGAGCAGGAGCAGCUCCUGCCUGGCUGCGGUGAGGCUGGUAAGUGAGGAGCCAGCGGAGCUUCCUAAACCUGAUCCCUUGCUUUGACCAUGGCAGCCUGUGUUUGUGUGCAGGAUUCCAUGAAGACCAGAAGCACCCCACUUCCACAUCAGCUUUUCACCAUCUCCCCAGCUCUCAGCAGAUUGGGUCAGGAACUCUUACAGAUGCUGCUCCCCCUUUGAUCAGCUUCUCAGCUAAUAAAUCCCUGGCAGGGCUUUGGGAAGCUGGAUGUACAACUCAGACCUGUCAGCGGGAGAAAAUCCCCAUGGAGCUGGGCUGGGAUUCUCCUGUUCUUGGAGGGAAUGCCGGAGGCUCAGGUUUUGCAUCUGGCUGAUGUGAAGGAAAGUCCUUUUGAUGUGGUUCCUUGGCCCAAGAACCUGCAAACCACCGUUAACCCCCAGUUCACGCUUGCAAGCGGAUCGGGUUGAUUUCAGCAUCGCUGCUGUGAGUUCUCAAACCUCUCAUUAGCUGCUGCUUGCUGCAUUUCCUUCACUAAUAAAAAGGAAUUGCUUGGCUCAACCACCAGGCAUCGAUGAAGCUGUGUCUGUGAUUCUCCACCAUCUCCACCAGGUAGCCCUGUUUGCGGCAAGGAAACCAAGAUCUGCUGUGAUCUGCACCGAAAUUGAAGUGGGACCUCAGGAAGUUGAAUGAAGAAUCAACAAGGUUGGAAAAGAGCUUUAAGCUCAUCAAGACCAACCGUUCCCAGCACUGCCAAGGCCACCACUAACCCAUGGCACUGAAGGCCUUGGCUACACGGGGUGUGAACACUUGCAGGCACGGUGACUCCAGCCCUGCCCUGGGCAGCCUGUUCCAAUGCCUGAGCAUCCUUUGGGGAAGGAAUUGUUCCUCAUCUCCAGUUUAACCCUCCCCUGGAGGUAUUGCCUCUUUCCUAGCUGCUCUCAGCCAUCACAGCACAUUCUGCUGACUUCAGUGAACCCAUCAAUCUGAUUAUCUGCUGUGGCAAAGAGACAAGUUCAACUCAAUUAACAUUUAUGGAUUCCACAGUGCUUUGCAUAAAUGUUUGCUUAAUACACAAGUCAAAAAUAUCCCCAGAAAAUGAAAAUUAAAGAUAGUUAAUUGCUUGCAGCUAUGCAC
rnacentral:lncRNA from 1 species